rnacentral:rRNA from 1 species
AACGCUGGCGGCGCGUCUUAGACAUGCAAGUCGAACGGUAGUCCUUGAGCUUGCUUAGGGAUGAGAGUGGCGAACGGGUGAGUAACACGUGGAUAAUCUGCCUCCGGGUUGGGGAUAACUGUCCGAAAGGGCAGCUAAUACCGAAUGAGAUGGUGGUUACAUAAGUAGCAGCCAUUAAAGGUGGGGACCGCAAGGCCUACUGCCUGGAGAUGAGUCCGCGGCUGAUUAGCUUGUUGGUGGGGUAACGGCCUACCAAGGCGACGAUCAGUAGCCGGUCUGAGAGGACGACCAGCCACACUGGAACUGAGACACGGUCCAGACUCCUACGGGAGGCAGCAGUGGGGAAUUUUGGGCAAUGGGCGCAAGCCUGAUCCAGCCAUUCCGCGUGAGUGAAGAAGGCCUUCGGGUUGUAAAGCUCUUUCGCAAGGGAAGAAAACUUACUUUCUAAUAAAGAGUGAGGUUGACGGUACCUUGAUAAGAAGCACCGGCUAACUACGUGCCAGCAGCCGCGGUAAUGCGUAGGGUGCGAGCGUUAAUCGGAAUUACUGGGCGUAAAGCGUGCGCAGGCGGCUUUGUAAGUCAGAUGUGAAGUCCCCGAGCUCAACUUGGGAACUGCGUUUGAAACUACAAGGCUAGAAUAUGUCAGAGGGGGGUAGAAUUCCACGUGUAGCAGUGAAAUGCGUAGAGAUGUGGAGGAAUACCAAUGGCGAAGGCAGCCCCCUGGGAUAAUAUUGACGCUCAUGCACGAAAGCGUGGGGAGCAAACAGGAUUAGAUACCCUGGUAGUCC